GGGUGAGUAACGCGUGGGUAACCUGCCUCAUACAGGGGGAUAGCAGCUGGAAACGGCUGGUAAUACCGCAUAAGCGCACAGUACCACAUGGUACAGUGUGAAAAACUCCGGUGGUAUGAGAUGGACCCGCGUCUGAUUAGCUGGUUGGUGAGGUAACGGCCCACCAAGGCGACGAUCAGUAGCCGACCUGAGAGGGUGACCGGCCACAUUGGGACUGAGACACGGCCCAGACUCC
rnacentral:rRNA from 1 species